rnacentral:tRNA from 1 species
UGGGUUGUGGCUCAGUGGUAGAGCACUCGCCUUGCAUGUAUGAGACCCUGGAUUCUAUUCGCAGCACCACAUAAAAAUAAAUAAACAAAAUAAAGAUAUUGUGCCCAUGUGUAACUAACCAAAUUUUUUUAAAAAAAAAAGUAUUCAAAAAAAUAAUAAAUAUUUAGGGACUGGGGCUAUAACUCAGAGGUAGAGUGUAUGCCUCACAUGUGUGAGGCACUGGGUUUGAUCCUCAGCACCACAU